GACGAACGCUGGCGGCGUGCCUAACACAUGCAAGUCGAGCGAAUGAAGUUCCUUCGGGAAUGGAUUUAGCGGCGGACGGGUGAGUAACGCGUGGGCAACCUGCCUCAUAGAGGGGAAUAGCCUCCCGAAAGGGAGAUUAAUACCGCAUAAGAUUGUAGUACCGCAUGAUACAGCAAUUAAAGGAGCAAUCCGCUAUGAGAUGGGCCCGCGGCGCAUUAGCUAGUUGGUGAGGUAAUGGCUCACCAAGGCGACGAUGCGUAGCCGACCAGAGAGGGUGAGCGGCCACAUUGGGACUGAGACACGGCCCAGACUCCUACGGGAGGCAGCAGUGGGGAAUAUUGCACAAUGGGGGAAACCCUGAUGCAGCAACGCCGCGUGAGUGAUGACGGCCUUCGGGUUGUAAAGCUCUGUCUUCAGGGACGAUAAUGACGGUACCUGAGGAGGAAGCCACGGCUAACUACGUG
rnacentral:rRNA from 1 species